CAAAGGCAGACGGCUCAGUAACGCGUAGUCAACCUACCCUAUGGACGGGAAUAACCUCGGGAAACUGAGAAUAAUACCCGAUAGAACAUUAUGCCUGGAAUGGUUUAUGUUUCAAAUGAUUUAUCGCCGUAGGAUGGGACUGCGGCCUAUCAGUUUGUUGGUGAGGUAAUGGCCCACCAAGACUAUUACAGGUACGGGCUCUGAGAGGAGUAGCCCGGAGAUGGGUACUGAGACACGGACCCAGGCCCUAUGGGGCGCAGCAGGCGAGAAAACUUUGCAAUGUGCGAAAGCACGACAAGGUUAAUCCGAGUGGUUUCUGCUAAAGGAACCUUUUGUCAGUCCUAGAAACACUGAUGAAUAAGGGGUGGGCAAGUUCUGGUGUCAGCCGCCGCGGUAAAACCAGCACCUCAAGUGGUCAGGAUGAUUAUUGGGCCUAAAGCAUCCGUAGCCGGCUCUGUAAGUUUUCGGUUAAAUCUGUACGCUCAACGUACAGGCUGCCGGGAAUACUGUAGAGCUAGGGAGUGGGAGAGGUAGACGGUACUCGGUAGGAAGGGGUAAAAUCCUUUGAUCUAUUGAUGACCACCUGUGGCGAAGGCGGUCUACCAGAACACGUCCGACGGUGAGGGAUGAAAGCUGGGGGAGCAAACCGGAUUGGAUACCCGGGUAGUCCCAGCUGUAAACUAUGCAAACUCAGUGAUGCAUUGGCUUGUGGCCAAUGCAGUGCUGCAGGGAAGCCGUUAAGUUUGCCGCCUGGGAAGUACGUACGCAAGUAUGAAACUUAAAGGAAUUGGCGGGGGAGCACCACAAGGGGUGAAGCCUGCGGUUCAAUUGGAGUCAACGCCGGG
rnacentral:rRNA from 1 species